UUUUUUUUUUUGUAAAGAUAAUGUUAAGUCUUGAUUGGACCGUGAGAGUUGUGUUCUCAAUUAUUCCUGCCCCUUCUGUAGGAUGAAAAAUCAAGUGGGACUCGAUCAUAUUCAGGUGAAAUAAUAUUGGAUAGAUGACAACUUUCAAUAAUUCAAUAUGGGUAUACCAGUAUGUUAUUUAUGUAUACAAGAGUAAUUUACCUAUAGUAGAUUGAGGUAACAAGUAAGAUUUAUCACAAGUAUACUUGAACAAUAUCUAAUACCGCAUUUCGAUUGAAAAUCAUUGAUUUUCUUCUCCUAUUCGGAAAUUCCUUUUUGUUUCUUUCCAAGUUUCUGAUAUACACUUUUGACAAUUUGAUCGAGGUUAUGUGGCUUUUGAAAGAAUUUUCAUUAUGAGGAAAAAUAUUUCCUAUCGAAGUUAUUUCGGGAGAUUAAAUAAGAGAUAUCUGAUUAAGAAUAUAGAGGAGUGCUUCAUCUCACUGUAACCUUUCGUAGUAAUUAAAUCAUAUAAGAGACCAACAAACAACUUAUUAAUUAAAAGAAAACAAAAAUAGAUAUUAAUUGGUUUCUUCAGUGAUUAGAUUUUAUAUUGUCACAUCGUUUUGUCAUGUGAUUUUGUUGUGCUUAAAUCAUUGAAAAAGUCAUUUCCGAUUUAAGCAAUAUACUCGAUUAUCUAACAACAAAGUCGUUGUAGUAUAGUGGUAAGUAUUCCCGCCUGUCACGCGGGUGACCCGGGUUCGAUCCCCGGCAGCGGCGCUUAAACUUUUUUAUUUUGCCGUGCCCAAGUAAUGCUUGGUGACAGAUUGAUCUACUGGUCAGCUUUGGUAAAAAAUUUCAAGAUUGUUUACUACAUUUUUGGUUAAAAUUGUGGCAAUCUUUCUUGUCCCAUCUGAGCAUUAGUCCUAGCUAAGUCACACUGCUCUGAGAUCCAUUACAAAGUUUUCAUUUUUAGUGCUCUUGCAUGAAGUAAGGUAUUCUAGUAACAGUAAUCUUCACAUGUUCCUUUAUGUGCCUAACAGAACAAAUCUAUUAGACAUCAUGGGCACUAAGCUAAUCUAUGUUGCUCGGAUUCUUCAAAAAUUGUCACCAAGAGAGUGGUCUGAGCAACAUAGAAGCUAGUAAUAUUUGGAAAGGGCCUACGAUAACAUGAUUAUCAAGAACCAUUUCAUGGUCAAAGACCAGUAAGAAUGUUUGUUAAAUUAUUGGAACAUCUCAUGCAUGAUGGACUCUUUAAGUAAAUUAUGUACCUCAUUAUCAGACAGGUAAAAACAUAUUUCAGAAAAGAAACAAUUCCGCAAGAAACUGCUCAAAAUGUACAUACAACAAGUCAGUAAGAUCUCAGUCAGUCGACAUCCCGGUUUUUGACACCCGAGGUAAGUUCAGCUUCAGCAGAAGGUAACCUCUCAUAAACUCGGGACCCAACUGGUAGAAGCUUAAUCUUGCCCAGUCUAAGUGUUUGGCUAAGCUUCUCAUAGUUCCACCUCUGCUGAAUAUACACAACAACUCCCAGUACAACUGCAGCCACUGGUAUGGCAAUGUCUCCAAACUUGGUGUAAAAAUCAAACCUGGGGUUCACAAACUCGUAUUCUUCGGAGAAAUAGGGAUUGGGAACAGGAGAUCUGAUGUAAUCAUACACAUGAGGCAGAAGUCUAACGGACGUAAGUCCAAUAUAAUAUAGCUUCCUAAGUGGUUUGCAAUGGAUUUGCCAAACAAGGUUGCCUAUUACUUGAGGAAGCAAAAAGAAAUCUUGAAUCAAACCCAUGUACUCCUCCAAUUCAGUUUCCCAUUCCCUCAAGGUGUGGAAAUUUCCAGUGGAAUCUACGUAACGUUCAGCAUGAAGAGGUUUCUGGCUUGUAUUAUAGGAGUGGAUAAACAGAACAAUCAUAUAUCCAACAGCAUGUAUUACCAGUGUACUGAGAAGUACCCACUUGUCACUUGGAACACGAUGUGGUUCAAGAGGGCUCCUUGCCAAUAAUCUGAUACGGGAUCUCCACACCUUUUGGCUGAGCCUCGCUGUUACUAAAAAGGCAACAAGCACAAGAACCUUGACAGUAUAAUCAAUCAGACGAAUCCACUGGCUGUUGUCAAGAUCAUAAGACGGAGUCUCAUUGAUUUCAGAACCCAUCAUUUUGAACAAAGCCUCUGCACCUGUGAUCAAAGGCAGUCCGUAGCCAAGAGCUUGGACACCUAGCAUGGCAAGCGAGACAUACGGAACUGAUUCCGCAUUAUCUCUGAUGUAAAUUAGUUGGCUGAGAAUGCAAAAGAUCGCCAGAGAGAGUGUCAAGAUGCGGAGGAUGCCCUCUACGCCCCUACGGGAAAGAAUGUCUUCUCGCUGCUUCCUGUACAUAAUGGGGAAUGUUUGAAUGCUUACGGGAUUAAAAUAGAGAGGAUCAUCCUCAGUUCUUUGAGAGGAUACAGAGAUUUUAGCUGUUGGAUUGACCAACCAACGAGCAGUGGUUGGUGGGUAUGUUAUAACCACCUCAAUCAGACAAUCCAAUCCAGCCUCAAGGUCCAUACUUUCUGAUAGUAUUUUCCAGGAGGCUCUAACAUCCCUGCAACCAAUGAGGUACAUCUUUCCAACAUGUGGAUCAUACAGUCCCUCUACGAAAAGCAAUGAGAUGUUAUUGUAUGACGUCCCAGUGAGACUAAGUUGAGCAGAAACAUUUAAGAGAAGCUGUUUUUCUGUGUAUUCAGCCUUAGCAUGAUAAGAAUUCUCUUUUUCACCGAUGGAACCAUUUGUCAGAGGCCCAAACAUUGGACCAAGAGAAAGAAUCUCCAUUUCAAUUUCAACUCUUCGGUUAGCUGAACCAGCAAUUUGAUCUGCAACUGCUGAUGUGUGAAGGGAGAGAUCCUCGGAAAGAAUCGAAAGGCUGACAGGAAAAGAAUCUGCAUCUUCCAGUUUUGGGAAUGUCAACAGUGAUUUCUUAAACAUUGAACCAAGGGUAAAGGGCUCAUUUUUUUCAAGGACUGUAGCAGCUGCAUUGAUUUUUGAGUACUUGUAGUAUGGAAGAGAAGCAGUAUAUUGAUCCCACAGCUCAACAGGGCGGAUCAGUUUCUCAAAUGAUAAAGGAAAGUAACGCCUACUGCUUCCAUCAAUACUGGAAAAAUGACCAAUAAUUAUGCUCCUUUGUGUUAUAGAAAAGGAGAGCGGAACAUACAAGCAGAUUCGAGAAUCACAGUUGCUGUCUUCUGCACCAACUACUCCAUGGCAACCAACCAUACAAAGCUGUCCACUGGAAGAUUUCCAGAUUCCCUCAGCAGAAAGAGUCAUGUUAUUAAGCCCAGUCCUUUGUGCUGCAGUGAACUGAUUCUCCAAUGGAGAUAUCACUCCAAACACAGAAGAGACCCUAGAAGAAGUGACAUUAUCUUUUACAGAUAUUGUAUCACAUCGAACAUCCUGAAGGACAAGCUUGACGUCCUUAAAACCCCCAUCCAUGGCAUUUAUCUCCUUGUCUGAUCUGAAUGGACCCAAUUGACUGCAAAAAUCAUCUGUACCGUUGCAUUUCCAGUUCGGAACAACUGUUAAGGCUUCUUGAUGAGUGAAUCUUUGAAGAAUAUAGCAGAAGUCAAGCCCUCUAUAUGUAUUUAUCUCAGUACUCAGACUAUCUUUGUACGGAUAUGGAUCACAAGCUUUUGACACAAACUUUUCAGAGCCAAAUUCGUACUUUGAAGAAGUUCCCAGCCAAGAAGACAUAUGAACUUCAUCAAAGUACUUAAAACUCGUCUUUGGGUUUAAGCUUUUCAUGGUUCCUAGAAUAGCUCUAUUUGUCAGUGUAUUUGUUCUAGGAUAAUGAAGCACGAGCAAAAUUCGAUCAUCUUGCAUAAGAGGUGGCUGAUUAGUAUAACCAGAUUCCUUUACCCACUGCCAUGGAUCAGUCGACUCUUGCUGACGAGAAGGCAACAUUGUUGUCCCUAACAAACACAUGACUCUUUCCCCUUGAUUUUUCUUCGAUUCAAUGUAUACUCCUUCAAAAGUCACAGAAAGCUGGGAAUGACUGGGCCAAAUAUCAAAAUGAGGACUUCUCUCGUAUGGUUUACUUGAAAACAAGCCAUCUAGGGUGAUACCAAUCUGCAAUAUCCCACUCACACUAACAGAUGUCUUAGACUGAUGAGCACGAUCAACAUUCGUAACCCAAAAAGAAACUAAGUUCAACGGAGAUCGAAGAUCCGAUGAUCUGUUUGAAAGAUCUCUAUCAUCAAAAGGCAUUAUUGAAGCAGCCCCGUUAGACACUUGCCACCAAUCUCCAUUCAGAAAACUUAAUUCAUGUUUUAUGCUAUAGAUUCUGUUAUCAUCAGGUUCCAAUUCAGAAGCAGAAGCUAAAACAAAAGCACAUUCUUUUUUGACUUCAUCAGUUCUUUCGUAUUUGUAAGGCAUAGAAGUUCUAGUCCUAGGUCCUAACUCACCAUCUACCACAUAAGAAUGAACAAAACCAACAGACAGCAACAUCAACCAGAUAACAAUACUAGCCAUUGUCCAAAAAGAAGCAAAAAAAGACAUUUCCCCUAACCCCUUAAAUCAAGAUUCUUCAAGUAUUAGUGGAAAACAGAGAAAUUCAUGACUAACCCUUUUUAGAACUAAGAUUGAUCUUGCUAAAAUCGAAAUCAAAACAGAAAAAAAAACUUGGGAACUUAUCAAAAUCAAGUCUUUGAGAUGGGAAUUAGUGAAUCUUGAUGAGGAAAUAGCAAGUGCACUUACCUGGUAAACUCAAAUCUUCAUAGAAAGAGAGAGAUAGAACAGGGAAUCAAAGGAAAGUGAUGAUCAAUUUGAGAAAAAAGGGAGAAGUUGGUGCUUUGAUUUUGAUAAUUAGGGUAAGUAGAGAGAGUAAGGUGUGAAGUUGAAGUCAAGGCAGCUGAUGAUGGUGACACUGCUUGAAGUUAAGUCAAAUAUUUCUUACAACAUACUGCUUCCUCGUCCACUUUUAGUUGUUAUUAUUUUCUUUUUUAAAGUCAAGUUAUAAAAUACUUUUUAUCAUAUUGAUAUAUAAGAAAUUAUAAUUUAAUUAUACUCCACUUUUAGUAUAAUGUUUUAAAUAUUUAAAUUUUUUGCUUAAAAUAUCGAAUAAAUAUAAUCUAAUUCAACUUUAAAAAUUAAUUAAAUUGACUUUUGAAAAAUAAAACAUGACAAAUAAAAGUAGAUGAAUGUAGUAUGUGCCAACUCCUUUAAUCUCUGUUUUUUUAAUUAAUGGAGUAUUAAUAUUUUCGUGGGAAAAGAACCAAAAAAGAUUCUUAAUUAAUAAAGCAGAUCUCAAUUAAUCAAUUUACCUAAUUCUCAGAGGAUUACUCUUGAACUACUCAUUCAGUUGACUUUUGGUUGUGCAUAGUUGAAAAGUACACACCCCUUUAAAAAUAAGAAAAAGAAAAAGAAAAUAUUUUUCUUUUAAUAUGUUAGAGCGGGCAAGUAAAAGGAUUUUUUUUUAAUAUAUUGGAUGAGUAAAAAUGAAUCUAUUUAUGUUGUAAGUCAUAAAAAAUGAAGAUUAUAGAAUGAUUUUUAAAAAAGAAAUCAUAUUAUUUUUCGACAAGGUUUAGAGGUUAAGAGGGAUUCCUUCAAACAAAUAUUUUUAGUGCAAGUAUUAACAAUUUGGUAGGAGAAAAUGAGAUUAGUUAGAGUAAUAAAAGAAGUGAUUUUUUUAAAUAAAGAAAUAGAUUUGAAUCUUAGAUGGGUGGCCCAUGUGAGCUUCAUUAGAAUCUUAAAUGGGAUGUAUACAGUCUCGAAGAAAAUAUUAAACAAAUUAGAUUCGUCUCUUCUCCAUUUUUUCCUAAUUUUUACCUGAGGGCAUGUAUAUGACAUAGAUUAAAUUUAGUGGUUAAGAUUUAAUUGAUCAAAGUAAAUUCUUAUAACCACAAGCAUAUUUAUGAAUCACUUCCAUCAGAGUCACUCUAGUCUUAAUGAGCCAACCAUGAAUAGCUUCUCAAAGGAAGUAGCCAUUGUUUUUUUAAAGAUAAAGGGUUGUUCCAAAGAUGUUGCUCAUGAAAGAUGCAGUUUUGUAUAGGAAUGACUGCUCUCAAGACAGCAGAAACAGUCACAUAGCUUUGUUUCUGUACUCAAGAGCUUAUUGUCAUGACCCGCCACUUUGCACGGAGUGUUAGUUGCAGUCUAAGUCCGUGACAUAAAUAUAUAGCAUCUUUCACUUCAGUCUCCCAGUCUAGGAUGAAUAAUAGUUCCUGAUUCAAUUGCAUCAUGCAUGCUAUGGCACUUUGAAACUACAUCAAUGUCAUUGUUCAAAUUCAUCUUGACACAUGGAUUUCAAAGCUAUAGAUACAAAAUAGUAAUUUGAGUCAUAGCUCAGCUUUGAAAUAAUAUGGACGUUGUCUUAUUUUAGCGUCUGAUUUUCUAGUUAAACUUCUCUUCCCUCAAAAGUCACCCGUUCGUUAGCCAAGUGAAUCAGCAUGAGAAAAUCACUCUAUAGUCCCGUUCUGUGUACAUUUCACAGGAGAAUCCUUCUUUUUUUUUCACGCCAAGAUUGUAAAACAGUGUACACAACUACUCAAUCUCCUAGAGGCACAUUAAUUCUUCAGUAGGCUCAGAUUGCUACCUUAUGUUUAAAUACUCUACUAUUUGGAGUGUUAUAUAUGGUUGGAAGACAAUCUUCCCUAACUCAAACAAAACGUCUUUCCUGAUUCUUCCUUUCCUUAGACCAAUCUUUUAGUUCGAUUUCAUUUCUGAGUUCAGGUUCUUUCCUUUAGUCAGGACCAAACAACAACCACAUCGCCUCCUAAUUGGUAUAGUCACACAUUCUGCAAACAAGAUCCAUAUAUAACAAACAAAUAUCGAAGAAAUACAUAAUCUUUUCUCUUGUUUUGGUUGAUUUUAUCAAAGAUAUAUAUAUAGCUUAUGAAGGAUAAGCAAUUUUGUACUGAUACAAUCAUGCUAGGAAUAGAUAUACAAAGUUAGCAAAUGAACAUAAAUAAUGUCUUCUGAAACAUGUUAUGGAUUGAGACUAGUUUCAUCGUUUGAUCUCCCAAAGCAACUAUCAAAGCAGUCCAAUUCCCUCAAUUUCAGCAGCAAAAACAGCACAAUACCACACCCAAAUCCCAAUGCUGCACUGGACCCCGUCAAUGAAACAGCAGCACAAACCAACAUAACAAAAGAUUCUUCCUUUGAGUUCAUAUCCCUUGAAGCCAUAGCCAAUUCAAUCCCAGCGAACAACAGAAGCACCCCUAGUAUCCCAAUAGGAAACUGAUUCAAAAUCCUCACAAAUGAACUCCCAAAUACCAAACCAAGAACCAAUUUCCCCAAUCCAAGAAACGCCACCGAUGCACCACUCCUCCCACCAAAUCUGUACUGUCCAGCUAGCCCCCCUGCCCCGUGGCAACACGGCAUUGCCCCAAACCAAGAACCAACCAAAUUCAUUAACCCAACACUCACGGAGACUCUAGUAGCAGACACUUCCUUCUCCGGGAACAAAUCAGCUGACAAUUUACACACAGCGAUCACCGAAUUCAAUACGGAUAACGGAAUCUGAGGAAUCGCUCCCCGGAGAAAUCCGGUUUUCCAAUCUUCCCAUGUGAUUUUCAAAAUGUGAAUUUUUGAUGGGCCAAAUUUAAUAUCGUGAAUGAUUGAAGGAUCACGAACAAAACAGAGGAUCAAUCCCAGUAAAAACACUAUAAGAGCUGCCGGGAUUGCUGAUAGUGUUCGUAAUCUACGCCGAACUCUACGCCGAUCGUUCCUGUCUUCAUCUUCAUCGUCCUCAACAACUUCGCCGGAGCCGGUUACGAGUAUAAGAAAAGACACACAAGUGAGAGCCAGAAUAACGCCGUCAAGGCCAAGCCACGAACGUGGGGAGGUGGCGCUAGCCUUUGUAGAGGUAAAAUCUUGGUUAUAACGGAUGUAUUUGAUAGCAGAGAAGGCAAAAGCGAGGCCCUGAGAAAGCUGAACUCCGCGAACAACAGGGAGGGGAAUAAAGCGGUAGAAGAAGGACAUGAGUCCGGUGACUCCGAGGAAUAAAAGUGUGCCGGCGGUGCAUAUUCCGGCGGCGGCGAUUUGGGGAACAGUGAGAUGAGGUAUUUCAGAGACGGCGACGGCAGCAAUAGAUUUCAUGGGCUGAACAGGCAUAGGGAUUCCGAAAAUUGCACCGGUGAUGAUGUUAUAGAAUGCAGUGAAGAUAAGGGUAGUGCUGAGGUCAAGAUUGCUGACUAAUGUGAGUGCUAAGACAAUGGGGAUGUAGGUGCCUAAAUCGCCGACGGAGCCACCAAGUUCGGAGAGUAAGGAGGUUUUCAGGCGGAGAGAGCCGGUGAAUGGAAGGGAGGAAAGGCGGCUGCGCCACCAGUUGCGGCGGAGGAGGGGAGUAGUUUGGUCUGCCAUUUUUUGCCUGUGGGAGUUGGCAGGGGAGGGACCUGUCAGUGAUCACAAAUGAUGAAAAGAGAGUCAAGAUUAAAUUUUUUCUAAUAUAAACUCCCUUUAUAUUAUAUAGUAAUUCGAAUAAUUCAAGAUUUAAAAAAUAAUUUAUAAAUGGAUUAUAUUGAACUUGUAGAUAAAAAUGCAAUUUGAUAGGUGACACAAAUAUUAUGGUAUGUUUAAAACCGCAGAGGGAAGGUAGUUUCCUAACUUAAACUCAUUCAUCAUCACUUUAGAAACGUUUCAAGUGGUGAAGGUUGGAACUGUUUGUGUGCUUUAAGAUGUGUGAAGAUGCCGUUGAUAUUCGAAUCUGUGAUAGCAGCAGUUGAUGUUGAUCUACGAGAGCACAAACAAAUAUCUGUGCAAAAUAAUUGUAGAACAAGUGUAGAAUUUAAGCUGGAGAUAAGGAAGGAGUCAUGAGAAGUACUAGUGUCGUGCUAUUAUUACUAAUCUAAGGGAGUAUGAAAGUGACCUCCCACAGGCCACAAUCAUCUCUUCACUACACCAAAAGGCAAAGCUGCUUUUUCUUCCGGAACUUGUUGAGUUUUUAUCAAGGGGAUGGUUGGUUGAUUUAUUAUUUAAUAAUUUUAUGGAUGAGUAGGAUCGAAUUUAUAAUUUAAAAAACUGCAAAAGGGAGUGAGACAAAUACAAUUUAAAAAGUUAGCUGUCGAAAGUUAUUAGGGGUCGUUUUAGGGUGUAUAAAGACAAUGUCAAAUUGAAUGUAUUAGUACUAUUUGCUUUAAUUAUACAUUGAUUUUUUUAUGCAUUGUUUGAUUUACAUAAAAAUAUUUAUUUAUAAAGAUAUCUUUGUAUUAUUAAUAUCAUAGAUUUCCAUAUAUUGGUAAUGCACACCUUAAUACACAAUAAAGGGGUCGUUUGAUAGAGUGUAUUGAAAAAUUUUAUGCAUGCAUUAGCCUUGUGUAUUACUAGUACCUUGUAUGAUACUAUUUUCCAGCCUAUGUAUAACUACACUCUAUAGUGUAUUAAGGUGUGCAUUGCUAAUACCAUGGAUCUCUAGGUAUUAGCAAUGCAAUGGUUUUAAUGCAUGCAUUAGCAUGAUUAAAACCCCAAUUACCCCUCAAAACCUUUUUACAUCUUUUCCACCAUAGUAGUAGAGGAUAUCUUUGUAAAUUAAUUUUUUUACGCAAUGCAUACUAUUUUUUUAUGCAUCAAACCAAACGAUACAUAAAAAUAAUCUAUAUAUAAUUAAUGCAAGUAUAACUAAUUCAUGCAUUGCUAAUGCAAGCAUUACUAAUACAAACAUUAGUUAUACAUAGCUUGAAAAAAUAUACAAAACAAAUUAUCAUUAAUACACGUAAUUAAUUAUUUUUGCUAAUACGUUCUACUAAACAACCCCUUAAUACUUUUGUCAAGGAAAAGAAAAUCAAAGGCAAAAGGAAACAUGAAAUUGGUAGGAUCCGAGGAAAUCCCAAGCCCACAUACGGACUAGACUUUGGACUUGGAAUUAGGGCCAUUGAGUUUGACAAUAUUUGGGCUUGGAUGGUCCAAUUUGAUAUAUGGAUAGUCAAUCCGCCAACACUUGGACAGGUGCUAGUUGUGGAUGAAAUUCACAAAUAACUAUUUUUUGGAACACUAAUUUAAACUUUGGGAAAACUGUACAAAUUGGAUCUAUUAAGCAAUGUAUUUAUCUAAGGGUAAACAACACAAAUCUCACUAGUUUAGUGCCUAAUUACCUCUCUUCCCUUCAGUUUGCAUAAUUACAAGUCCUACCAUAUUUUUCAUCUCGGAUACAUGUAUCUAUCGCAUCUAGAUACAUGUAUCUGAGAUCCAUGUUAGUCAGAUACAUAACAUUAGGCUUAUCUAAUUAAAGAUUGUAACUGACAGCCAUAAAUUAAGGAGGAAUUCACGCUUAUAAUAAUUAUGAAAUAUUUUGACGUAUCACAACUUCUAAAAAUAAUUAAAAUUCUGCUAUUAUUUUUUUGGAGAUUCAACAAACUUUACACUUCGUCUUCUUGAAUAAUUUCGUACAUUUUUUGUUCAACAAUAGUCAAUAUCAUUAUUUUAUAAAUCUAGAUACAUAAGUUUGAUUGUAGUUCAGAUACAUAGUGUGAAACUAUUAUAAAUACACUGCCUAACUAAUCUAGAUACAUUUUCUAACUUGUUUAAGAUACAUAUAUGAUAUAAGGCAGUUCAAAUACAAAAGUUUUUUUUAUUAUAUCACAUAUAGUUUGGUGUAUAUGUUAGAUACACUAUUUAACAUAUCUCAUUUAAUUAAACUGUAUAUGAGAUAAUUCAAAUACAUUAAACUAAUAAGUAUGACACAUACAUUAUGUUGUUGUUAAUAUUAGAUCAGAUACAUGUUAUAUAUGUAAGUAAUUCAGAUACACUAUAAAACAUGUGUAAUAUAUGAAUUAAUUAAUUGUUGGAUACAUCCCCUUGUAUCUAAUAUAACACAAGAUUCAAAAACCAUAAAAUCUUAAUUAAUGCUGAUACUUCUUAGAUAUACAUGUAUCUAAUAAAUAACAUUGCUAUAUAUUAGAUACAAAAAAUAAAAAAUAACUAUAUCAUAUAUAUGCAAUGGUAACUGAUAUGAUAUAACACAAGGAUUGUAAGAUAGAUACAUAAAGUAUACUGUGAAUUAUGAAUAGAUUUUGCAUUUUUUUUACAUAAAUAUUUGAAACACCAUCUUGCUCGACUUGUGUAUCUGAGUUUUCAGAUGUGGUCCUAGGCCUGUUCUUUAGAAGGGAAUCUGGAUCCCACCUCCUGGAAUCUGUGAUGUGCUUAGGUUCCACUUGGAAGAGCCAAAAUAUAAGAUGACUCUACCUGUAGAACCUAGAUUUAUAGUUCCUUUGUGCCAUACAAUCAACGUUUAUGUGCUUGUUGGAUGCAAAGAUACAAAUUAAGUUGUGUGCAUUAUCAAGAACUUCUUUUUUGAUUAUACAAAUCGAACAACAUAUCAGACUUUACCUUAUGAGUAUCUUGACUUCUCCUCUCCUAUGUGCUUGUUUGUAUCGGUUGUUCGGGCAGCAUGGAUGAUUUAGUGAAGAAGAUUUAUGAGGAAGAAGGAAGAAAGAAAGAGAAUGAGGAGAUGAACUUGGGAUAGGAGAUUGAUGAUGACGGAAGAGAGAGUAUACAGAUGUGGGGGGGGGGGGAGGGGGGGGGGGGGGGGGGGGGGGGGAGAUAUACGGUUGGCAUAGGAGUUUGAGGGACAGUUGUUAAUCUUACCUUUAAUUAAGGAGUUGGAAUUUUAAGAUAAUUAUUCAAUACCAUAUUUAAGGGAUUUGUGUAUCUGAUUUAACUUUUUAAAAAUAUAUGGUAUAAUUAUUAAAAAGUGGUAUUAUGAGUAAUAUUUUAAAACUAUAUGUAAAAUAUGUAUAUAUGGUAGUUAAGUAUGUCUAAUUAUGUAGUUCUAAAGUAGAUGGAAUCCAAUAUAUUUAGUCUGAUUGGACCCAUGUCCUAAACUAUAUACUCGUCUGCUUCCUCGUUCUAUUCACUGAAUUACUACUUCAUUAUCCUUGAUACCAUUAGAGUAUAGUAAUUGAACAGUUUUUUCAUUGAAACACUAACUCUAAUGGUAUUACGGAGUAAUUGAAUAGUGUUUUCACUGAAGCACCGCUUCUUCCUCUCUGAUACCAUCAGAAUGUGCAAAUAUAUACUUUAAUGGUAUCAAAUAGUAAACAUGGAUUAAUAGUUAAAAAUAGGAGGUAUGAAAGUAAGAGAGUAGCAAAAAGAAAAUCAUAAGACUAAAUAAUCAAAACUAAGACAAAUAAGUUUUUUUUAAAGCAGAAAAAGAAAAUAAAAGGAAUCCCCCCUCCUACAAUGUGGGUACGACAUCGAAUUUAGCAAGAGCCUCAGAUGUUUGUUGGAAUGUACUUGAUUUGUCGUACUAAAAAGGAACUUUUCACUUUGACUCUUUACUAGGAGUAAUACAUUUGUUUCACUUGUUGGUUCGUUUUUAAACUUGUUCAAACUUAAAUGAUGACCUGUUCUGCAACGUUCCCUUUCUUUGACCAAGUUACCCUUCUGUAGAUUACAAACAUCUAUCCAGCUCAGCUCAUAUCUGUACUUCACAAGGGUAAUAUUGUCUUUUUAAAUAUAGUCAAGACUUCAAUGACAAACAUCUAAACUUAUAUGGGAGAGCUGUUAAUGUAGGCCAACAUAUCUAGCCGUUACACUCUCCAUCUUUUUAAAAAUGACAUGACCGUUGGUCUCUCUUUUUGUUUCAUCAAAAUCACCUAAUCCUCUUUGCUCUGUUUUUCUCUUCAGUUCUGAUUUUUUCAUUCUUCAAUUUUUUCUGCAAGAAACAGAGGUUCCCCUCACUCCAAUGGCUGGCGAUCUUGUUUUUACCCCUGAAGAAAUGGUGAUUGAUCAAGGUCUUGGAUACCCAAAAGCCUAUGCCAAGAUCUGUAAAGAUCGAAGCUUUGGCCCCUUCAGCCGCGGCCCUCCUUUCACUUUCACUCCAUAUGCUCUGCCACAACAUGAGGUAACAUAAAGACUCAAUCUUUUUUUCCAAGAUUAACUAGUAUUCGCUGCCGAAUUUGAUUAAAUUUAUGUUUGGAUUACUUAAUCUUGCUUGCUCUGGUUCACCAUAAAGAGUGGAUUUAUCUGUUUUCCUGGAUUUUUAACACCACCCAGCACCCCCUUCCCCAAAUUUGUGUUGAAUUUAUGGUAGAUUUGCUUUUCUUGCUUCUAAUUGUUAAUUUAGUUGCCACUAGCAGAAGUGGCGAAUGUAAGAUUUAAUUUCGAUGGGUUCAAAUUUUAAGGAUCUUAGCACUGAACUCGUUGAAUUUUUGAAAUUAUGGAUUCAGAAUUUAAUUUGAGUUAUAUUUCAGUGAGGGAAAUACUGGUUUUUUCCCAAAGUGGAUAUCAUAGUUGAAUUAAACCUUGUGAAUUUGAAUCCUUGAUUUUCAAGUAGAAGCAGCCAAGUUUCAAAUCACUUAACUGAUCUUGGAAAACAAUAAUGUUUCAUUUAGAACAAAUGAACUUUAGCAGAAUUUUGAUUGGUAUAGGUUUUGAGAGCCAAGGAAUUGGAUGACAUGUUCCCUAUCAUUGAUCCGAAUGCACAACCAAACACAAAGACCAAGAUUUUUAUGUCUCUGUUGUGGAAGCAACUCUGCCACCUCGGGUAAGAAUCAAUUGUGAUGCUAUUCUGUUUAUCCAUACUGAAUAACUAGGAAAAGUCUUUCUCAUUCUUGAUUAUGACUUGAACUCCAGGAAUGCGGGAUUUGAUCCUGAAGUAUUUCGAGUAGACUCGUAUGGCAAUGUUCUGUAUUAUCAUGCUGAUUCAGCUUCGCCUUUGGCAUGGGAAAUUGAUCACUGGUUUCCUUGCUCCAGUAAUUACUCAUCAUCCUUGUGCUUUACUGCAUAGACUUUAACUUAUGUACAUUGACAAAAAGUUACAUUAUCAAUGAUCAUUUUCUGUGUUUAAUGAGUUCUUUAUAUGUGACAUUUGGUGAAAUUGCAGGAGGAGGACUAACUGUUCCAAGCAAUCUGAGGAUAAUGCAGUGGCAAGCCUGUAAGAAAAAGAAUAACAAGCUGGAAUUCCUUAUACCCUGGUGGGAUCUGCAAGUUGGUAUAUCGAUAAACCAGUUCUUGUCCAUCUUUGCUAUAUCAAAUUCAGAUUUCAGGUCGGUUGCUGUGUAUAUUUGUUGAGUGCAUUUCCAGUUUCAAAGUGAGAUUUUGCAACUGCUAGAUUCUCAUUGUGUCAUUAUUUUCAGGCGUAGAGCAUUUUCCUGGUUGUUUUCUGAAGGUGAAAGUGAAGAAUUGAAUGCCUCACAAACUGUUGAUUCACAUGUUUUUCCUCAACAUUUUGUUGAGUCGAAAGAAAAGAUUGGCCUUGCUCCAGCAGCUGUUGUUUUAUCUCGAAGGGAGUCUUUUGAUUCUUCCUCAGCUCUGAAAUCAUUGGAUAUAAAUAGGAGACCAAGAUCAAACACUCCUAUUGUUGGUUAGUUUCUAAAAAAUCAAAGACCAUAACCUGUUUUCUUGGUUUCAAUGUCGUGUGAAACAAGUCAUUGUUUCUUUGGUUUUUCCUUUUAAUGAGCUUUGUUUUUUUGGUUUCUCUGUUGUGACAGCUUGUAAGAGAUCAAAAACUGAUCUGAAAGAAAAUGAAGAUCCAGGCAUGGUAACCAAUCCAUACCAGGCUAUUGUGAUAGCUAGAGAUUCUUUGAGACACAGAGAAGAGACAGCAAAGAUGCAGGCAGAAAUACAGAAAUUAGAUGAUGAAGUAGGUGAAUUGAAGCAGAAGACUGAGGAGGAGAAAGCAGCUGUACAAGAUUUGGAGCUAAUCCUAACAAAGAAAAGAAGGAGAGCUGAGAAGUGUCGACGACUAGCUGAGGCACAAUCUUCUUAUAAAUCUAUGCUUGAGAAGAUGAUUCGAGAUGCCAUGCACCAGUAAGAUCUCUGGAAUGACAUGUCAACUAGAAAAAUAGAAAUCCAUUUAGUGUGUGUGAUUAUAUGCUCUUCUUAGUCUCUUACUCUACUGGUUUAUGUGAUUUGCAGGAGUAUUGUGUAUAAAGAACAAGUGAGGUUGAAUCAGGCAGCAGCUAAUGCCCUUAUGGCAAGACUCGAAGCUCAAAGAGCAAUUUGUGAUUCUGCAGAGAGAGACCUACACAGGAGAUUCAAACAGAGAGAUGAACUCGAGCAACAGAUAAGACCUGAGUGGGACCAAACAAGAAAAAGAUCAAGAAUGGAUGAAUUUCCGGGUGGAGAGGGAGAUGAGAAGACUCUUCUUCUUCUACCUGGCAGCUGCUCAAGGGCAGAAUCAGAGAAAGAUGAUACAAGAGUUCUAUGCUUGCCCGAGAUGAACCCCAAGGACAUUAUGCAUAAGGAAUUAAGAGUAUUUUUGGAGGAAGAGCAGAAAGCAUACGAGGCUAGACCAUCUCUAAAUGGAGGACAAGAGAAAGAAACUAAUCACAGAAUCAGCAUGGGAAUCCCCUCUGAUCGCAGUAACAACGCUAAUCUGCAGGCAAAGGAUGAGGAUCCAACAGAUCAGAAGGUUCAAAACAUAGAGAUACAAGAAGAAAAAGAAGAGAUAACUUGCAACCGUGGGUUUCCCACUUUUCAUGAAACUGAAAGACAGGAGGAGGACGAAGAGAGCAGACAGCAGCGUGGAAAAGGAAAUGUUGAAAAAUGGCUUCAGUUGCUUUUGGAUAACUCUGAAGAACCUACCGACUUUGGUCUUCAGACUGCUGAGGAGAAUGAUUGUGGUAAGAGAACUCUUAAUGUAGGAGAAGAUGAAACUAAUGAGAUUGAUGGCACGAUAACAAAGCUGAAUAUCAAGUAUCCACAAAAGGAGAUGAAGAUAUCUGAAUCUGAGGAGGCAGAAAUAGCUGAGGAUGUGAAACAGCCGCAGAAGGUGCAAAUUCAAAAAGAAGCUGUCCAACAGGAAGAAGAAACAAAAAGAGAGGAAGUUGUUCAAAUGGCAGCCAGGAAAUCAUUCUCAAACAGAGGAAAUGGGAAAAAGGAAGAAAGAACUGAACUUAAAGGUCAAAAUUUACUAUGCAGGAAUCCUCCUCCUUACAGUUUGAUUCCAGAAAGGAGGGCCAGUGAUGUAGGUUCUGCUUCUAAGGGAGUAGGGAGAUCUAGCAGCUGCGAAAGGACUGCAAGGAAGAGUGAAAAGGAUAAGGAAAGGGAACUCUCGAGGUCUGACAGUGUUAGGUUGUUUAGGCGUAUCCCAUCCUCGCCAUCUCUCCUUUUGAGUGGCAUGAAAAAGAGAGUGGAUUGCAUGAGGAAGAAGCCAUCAGUCAUUGGUGAUGAUAGUGAUGAAAGUCUGGUCGGAGGUAAUAUUGGCUUCAUAAAAUCAUCCAUCAAAACAAUCAAGAGAGCAGUGAAGAUGUAGGUUUGCAUAUAGAAUUAAAUUUUCGUGUUACCACCAAACGAGUGUGUGAAUGGUGCUUUGUGCUUGAUUUCUUUGUACGAUAGUGUACAAUCUAUUAUUCUUUUGAAGGAUUUGUAAUAACAGCUUGUUGUUUGGUGUAAAGAUUUCUAAUAAAGUGACUAUAUUGAAUUCCCUUGGGAGUAUGGAAGAUGACAUGUCCGGUUAUGCUAAAAACCAAGGCAAAAUCAGAUUGUGCAGAAAAAUAAGAGGUAAGAUUUCUCGCACAACUCUUUCUGUCGACAAUUUUAAAAAGAAUAGCGGUUUGCUGGUCAGUGAAAACAUUGACAACAAAAAAUACAUGACCUCAGUGCUUUAUUGUUGAUCCAUUGAGAUCAGAUACCACAGAGCUAACCAAUAGUGAAAUCAUAUCUUUAGUGCAUCCAUUAUGUAGUGUAAACUUACCUUUUCUUAACUUUAUUAACUUUUUUUCAGCAGACAAUACAAAACAUCCUUCUCCUUCGGACAUUAUAUUUGAAGGAAAGGUUUAUGAGAAACCAAUGUUUGUUUUCAUGACCCUUCAGGUUCAUGCAGUUUCACAAGCAAGAACCUAUACUAUAAUCUAGCCAAGCCUCCUCGCUGUAUGAGCACUACAAUCAUACCACCACCAAGAUAUACGAGUUUCUAAAACAACUUCGCUAAAGUAACCAAGAACUAGCCCCUAUCUUCAAGUAUGGGAGAAAGGUCUGUGCUAUAUACAGUAAAUAAGGCAUCUCUAUGAUGAGUAUUACAAAAUUGUCUUUGACAUUGUAAACAUUUCACAAUAUUCUAGCUUUCGAGAGCAUUACCACAGGGGAAACAAACAUUCCUGCAGAAGGGCAGUUGAUGUUAUCUGCAGAAGCAACAGACGUGCAGUGCCUGGCUGUGGAUGAGAUUUUAUCUGGGAUAGCAACCUUGGGGUGUGUUGAGUACUCUAUCCAGGAGCUAAAACACCUAGCUCUGCCCGUCACCACAAACAGAUACUAUUUUGCCACUUGUGAAUCAAUUCUUUCUGCUUAUGAAUUUCAAGUUUCUCCCAAAUAGUUUUCAUCCCCACAUGUGCAUCUUCCAUCCUUAAAAUGGUGGAAUUGCUCAGUAUCUCUAACUGCAAUCUCCCUCCGAACAACCUCAGAGAUAAACUUGAUUGUGUCGUGACAGCUCUUGCACAUAUAAAGAUUCUUUGUGACCCAAAUAGGUGUCCCUGGAGCUGUAUUUAUAAGACCAAAUGCAAUAGCUAGUCUCUCACUGUGUCCACAAAAGAUCUCGGCUUUUGAAUCAUUAACUUCAUUUACUGUAUAUCUUUCUGAUUUACUAGGAUGUGCUGCCUUCAUUUUUUCAUAAAAUCCUUCUAGAACUGCAUUAAUAUCCUUGCUUUGGGGGUGUAAGUUAUCACCACUAAGAAAUGCAUGUACAUUUCCCUUUACUUCUAUCCAGCUGCAACCAGGAUCAAUAGUCAGUCCCUUUUCUAUCAUAAUCUUCCUUAAUCUUACAACUUCAUUCCAUCUACCAUUGUCAGAAUAGAAGUUGCAGAGGAGAACAUAAUAUCCCACACCUCUCUCAUCUGUUUCAAGAAUGUGUCUAGCUGCUAGUUCUCCAAGUUCAACCUGCCUGUGGAUCCUACACGCAUUUAAUAAAGCCCCCCAGAUAGCAGAAUCGGGUUUCACAGGCAAUGAUAGAAUAAAAUCAUAAGCAUCGUCCACUAGACCUGCACGGCCUAGCAGAUCAACCACACAAGCAUAAUGCUUCAGAUUCGGAACAAUACAAUACCUACUCUCCAUGCUAUUCAAAUAAUCAAGGCCUUCAGUAACCAAAUCAGAUCUACUACAAGCACGUAACAGAGAAAUGAAAGUAAUUUCGUCUGGCUUUACUCUUGAAGUUAUCAUUCCAUCAAAAAGCUCGAUUGCAAGUGCACCUUGCCCUCGCUGGGCAUAGCCAGUCAGCAAGAUAUUCCAAGCAGUAACAUCCUCUUUCUGCGUAUUAAACAGAUUCAGUGCUGGGGCCAUCCUUCCACACCUCACGUAGAAGUCAAGGAGUGCAUUGGGUAAAAAACCAUGAAAUUCCAUUCCGUUUCUCAAUACAUAUGCAUGUAUUUCUUUACCACACAUCAGUGCACCGAUUCUAGAACAUGCAGAGAGGACAGACAUUAAGGUAACAGAAUUGGGAUCCUGAUGGCGUUUCAUUUCUCUAAAAAAAAUUAAAGCUUCCAAACUGCGAUUAUUUAUCCGUAGACCAAGAAUGAUAGAAGUCCAAGAUAUGACGUUUUUAUCCGGUAUCCUGUGAAAAAUUUCCAAUGCCUUGUCAAUACAGUUGCACUUGGAAUACAAGUCGAUCAGAGUGUUUGAGACAAUCACGUAUGCUAUAAGUCCUCUCCUUUCGGCUAGAUGUUGAAGCUUAACACCCAUUUCUAGAAGGCCCAAUGAAGUACAGGCAGAUAGAACAGAAGCUAUAGUAAUUUCAUCCGGCAUGACACCUUCUAGUUCCAUCAUUUUGUACGUCUUAAUGGCCUUCUCAGGAAACCCAUUACUCUCAUAACCCGAGAUCAUUGCUGUCCAUGAAACUACAUCUUUACAUUGUAUCCUAUCAAAGAUCUUUUCUGCUUCCUCCCAGCUCCCAAUAGCUGAAUAAAGUUGAAUGAGAGAGUUGUGCGCCGAAACAUCACUAUAAAAGUCCAUUCUUGACACAUACCCGUGAAGUGCUCUCCCUAACCUCUCAUCCCCAAGAGCCUCACAAGCUGAAAUCACACUUGUCAUGGUCAUCAAAUCCGGAAAAAAGCCAAAUUCCCUCAUUGAGGAGAACAACAUUAACCCCUCCAAAAACUCACCAUUCUCAAAGUAACCCGAAAUCAUAGCAUUCCAAGAAAUUCUAUCUCUCUUAGACAUUCCAUCAAACAGCACUCUUGCACUGCAAACAUCACCACACUUAACAUACAUUGUAAUCAAUGCAUUAACGACAUCGAUUUCCGAAUCAUAGCUAAAACGUAUUACAUGAGCAUGUAUCUCCCUGCCCAUUCUCCAAUCAGGCAAACCCCCACAAGUCCUCAAGACACAAGGAAAAGUAUAGACAUCAGGCCUAAUUCCAACCCACAACAUCCGUUGAUACAAAUCUAAAGCCUCAUCAAAAUACCCAUUUUUCGCAUACCCACCAAUCAAAACAUUCCAAGAAAAAACAUCCCUCUCCUCCAUUUUCCCAAAAACAUACCAAGCAUCACCCAAAUUCCCCAACCUGACAAACAUACUCAGCAAGGCAUUUCCAAGCCUCAAGCUCAACUGGGUCAUACAGUUGAGUAUGCAAGAAAAUACUUCACACGCCUCAUUCGAUGCUCUCUUGAAUUCGCACAGCCUAGCUAAAGAAACAAAAGUGUCUUCUUCUAUGGUGCCAUGAAGGUCCUUUAUUGACUUCAAGAACACUAUUGCUUGUUCCAGCUGGCUGUGGAAGCAUAAUUGGAUAAGAUGGGAAUUUGGGUCAGUGGUGGGAGUAGAGGUGGAGGAGGAACUGAGGAUAGAAUUUUGGUGGGGUUUUUUAAGGGAAAAAAGGUGGGAUUUUUGGAAGAUAUGAGAGAAAUUUAGAGAUUUUGAUGAAUGGAGUUUAGAGAAUUGAGGGUUUUGGGGGUCUAAAGGGAGAGAUAUUGUUGGGGUUUUAGCAGAGACCGCCGCCAUAUUGGGAGGUGUAGUAGAGAAGGAGCAUGUCGGAUUUUAAUUUUUCCGGCGGGGUUUUAGGAGAAUGUUUAAACGGCUAUCAAACACCAGGGGUUUAGCCGAUAAGAGAUACUUUGAAUAUCCCCAUACGACGUCGUUAAGAAUUUGUUAUAUUUUAGCCAACUAUAUAGUCUAUCAUUUCUUCUUCUUUAAAUUUAAUUGGCCAUUUCAUUUCAAUUUAAACAAGCAUAUUUAUUACGGAUUUUAUAGGAAAGUUCCUCUCAAACAAUUUGUUGUUAGGCUAGGCAAGACAAAUUAUUCUUAAAUAAAUUAACCGCUUAUCUGUACUCGAUAGUUAUACUAAAUUAUAUUACUAAUAUAAUUGACCUUGAUGCUUAUGAUGAUCCUCUAGGUUCAGAUAUGAUAGUCUUCCUAUGACAUCUCACACCUGUCAUAAUAGAAUAUAUAAGCAAAACAAUGUAUAGUUAUUUUCCCUCAUAUGAUAGAUAGCUGGUAGCUUCUAAGCUCAAGCUAUUUGAAAUUGAAUUGCUAGUUUUUUCUUGUUUUCAAUAGAAUGGUAUUUCUUGUCCCCCUAUCAAAUAAAGUAGAGGAAGAACACAAAGAGAGAUUUAUCUAAUUAAUUGACUAGCUAGCUUCACUAAGACUCAUUCAACCUUCUAUAACGAUUUUCGGAUCAUUUUAUUCAUUAAUUUCUUCUCAAUCUCUCCCCAAGAGAAGGAAAAAAAGGACAAAUGAUAUUGAUAAGUCUAAUGGAGAAAGAAUGUCUGAUACACUUAGAUAAUAGCCCUCUCAAAGAGUGGAGAUAUUUUUUCCUUUUGACAAAAGAACAAAUUUAGAUAAACAUAUCUUCAAUAAAUUAAAUAUAAGAUACAAAGUCUCUUUUUUUGUUCCGUUUUCAUGAGUCACGUACAACGACAUAGAAAGAUAUUAAAAUAAUUAAAGCUUAUUAUAUGAAUCUUAAUUAGUAGUUCUAGUACUUUUUGCAUUGACUUGUCCCCUGCACCUAUUACAAAUUGAACACCAAUUUUUUUCUUAUCAGGACAAAGAUUUCCUCCACUUGUUAGGUGUUCUGCCUCUAACAAGCCUAGUCUUCAUAUCCCCUGGAGUUUGUCUUGCAACAUAUCCCACAUCAGUUUCUCUAUCAAUCUCUCCAAUUUUAUCAACCUUAUUCACUAAAGAAGGCACAAUUAUCUUCUUCCAACCAAACAAACCACUUCCUCGUUUCUUCUCUAACAACUUCUCAAUUUGCGAUUGCAUUGUCAUACACUGACUCUGUAGCCUCAGGACAUCUUCCUUUAGCCUCUUUAUCUCCAUUUGCUGAACGUUCAUUUCGCGCUUUGACAUACACCGAGCUGGAGGCUCAAUUAGUCCUAGCUGAUUGGGGCUUCGCGUUCCGCUUAUAAAAGAACCACUCCAAUCAAUUUGAUGCUUGUUAACCUUUGUUUGUUCGGAUAACAACACUUGAAUUAUUGCCCGUACUGGUAAACGUUCGUUUUGCGCUGCGUGCAGAGAUGCCUCUGGCGACAGCUUUCUGCUGUCGAUCAAUCUACAUAGAGUUUUUCUCUCUUGUUUUGACACCCCGGGAUGUGUCUGCCAUAUUUUCAAGUCAUUUCUCUCAAAAUCCCAUAUGGAUUAGCAUUAAAUAAUUUUUUUGAAAAGAAUCACAUUUGAGUAUAUCAAUUAUUUUGUAUAGUCACACACAGAACAGUAUCAAACAAAUUAGAGUUGGCUACAUGAAUUUUCAUUUCUUCACUAAGUUCAUUUUAUAUCAUUAGUCACAGAAAUAUCAUACAAUCCUUUCAUCCCAAGUUAGGUGACUUAGUUUGAUUGGAUGUGGAGUUUAAAAAAUAAAGAAAAAUUUUGUGGUCAUAGAUUAAAAAUGUGUAAUGCUUUAAACUUACUAAAUAUAGAAGGAAAGUGAGACAGAGUGAGUAACAUUGUCAUGUUUUGAAGUCACACAUACUUUUGGUAUGUUUCAAAAAGUUUUUCUUUCUUAAACUCUCAACUCGGAUUUUAUAAAGAGUUACUGUAAUUAAAAUUCAACAAAAAAAAGACAGUUUUUCACUUACUUUGAGGUAGGUAUCAAUGGCUCUGUACAAGCCAUCAUCUGUAUAACGAGCAUGGGCAGGAAGUGCAUCAGCAAGUCCAAAAAACUCGGUCAAUGUCAAAUUAGCAUCAACAGCAGCUUCAGCUAAGUAAUUAUCCACAAGUUUAGCAACCUUAAUUAAAGCAGAUCCACUUCUGACACUUUCAUCCAAAUUCAUAAACCUCUUAACCAACCUAAGAACAAGUUCAACAUCCAAUAAUGUCCCACACGUAUGAACAAAUGACGGUAUUAAUAACUCUUUCAAUGAAGCCUGGUCCAAUUGCCAUGAUAUCCUUUUCUCCAAAUCCACCCGGUAACUUGGCUCCACCCGAACCAUAUUCGCUACCCGAAGCAACCGUAAAAGGAAAUUGCACGGAAUCGAAUCCUUCUCCGGCGGGAGAAUUCCGACUAAUGUUUCCACGAAAAACCUCUUCUUCAUCCAUAUCGCCGUUACACUUUCCGGUGAGUCCUCAAAAUCUUUCGGGCCCAUAAAAACUUCUGAACCUGUCAAAAGAGUGCAUAAUUGAGUGAGCAUCUGAAAUAUUAAUUAAAGCAAAUGUACUCAGAUAGUCAACUAACUAAGAUAUGUAUAAAAAGAAUUUCUAUAAAUACCUUCGUCAUUAGAAAGGUCAGGGAGCCAUUUAGAGGCGUAGUGAGUAAUAAUUGAGCCAAUGAGUUCAGGACGGACACCUUUGGCUUUAAUACCGGAAAGUGUCUUGACAAAAUAGUCCAUGUCGAGGAUACAUGUGUCGUCGAACCAACAUUCGGCCGAGAAAUGCGUGGAUUUGCCGGUAAGAUUUACGGAUUCCGGUGAUAGUUUCAUCAUUUUUGGAGUUUGUGUGAACAUACAUACACUAGCUAGUAGUAAUUCAUAUAGAUGAAAGAAGAUUUCUGGCCAAUGAUGUUUUUUUUUCCUUUCUUGUUGUUACGUGAGGUUUAUUACCUCAAGUGGAUAAAAAACUGUAGGGAGUGACAGCACCACAUAAUGGUGACAACAUUGUUUUUAUCUGUUGUUGACAAUAAUACCCUCAAACACAUUGUUUUAGCUUCUCUCAUUCUUUUUAUUAAGCAUAAUGAUGUGAAUCGGGCUUAUUGUAUUUUGUAUCCAAUGUCAAGUAGUUCCGGUUCCCUCAAUCGUUGAUGUGUUGAGAAGUGCAUUAUUGAAACUUAAAGACCGAAGUAACCACACCAGCAUUUACCUGGAAAAGCAAUUAAAUUAAAGAGCAUCAAGUCGAAUUAAUUUAUCUUUGUUAUGAAAUAAACUUGACCGGUUGUUGCUCCAACACUUGAAUUUCGAUAGUACUUUAAAAAUUCAUAAACUCACUAACUUUAAAUUCUGAAUGCGCUUCAACUUUGGAAAGUAGUUUUUGUAGUGAAGAUUUGGUAAGAUGUAGUUGUUGACCGUUAGUGGCUUGAACAUGAGUGUGGUAGGAAGAGGAGGGAUGGCAAAAGGAAUAAAGGGGAAGGUGUGGGGGAGUAGUGAAGACAAAUUAAAAUGAUAAAGUGCAAGUCAUUUUCCUUUCUCGUGUGGGAGUUUUAUGAAUUUUGUUCUCUAUUCAGCAGAGAAACAGCCAUGAUAUGUCACUAUUUACUCAACGGAAUAUUAGCAUUAAUUUUACUUGUCUUCCUUCCUCUUCACCUCGGCCCAUUAAUUGCUCUACCCACACCCUUGGCUUCUAAAUUUGUUUCUUUCUCUUUUUCUUGCUGGCAAUUUGGCUAUCAUGUGCUGGGAAAAGUACGGCGGAAACACAAUUGGGACUAUGCUACAUAGUGUUGUGAGGAAUAUCCAAUGGGCAAGCGGGUUAAACUGAAUUUAGGCACAUCAAAAUAGAUUAAGUGAAAUUAUUUAGACUUACAUAGUUGGAUUAAGAUGGAAUAAAUGAUAAGUCAUAGGCGUGAGCGUUCAAUACUACCAAGUACCAAAUUUUAAUUGAUAUUCUUGUAUUUCUUAUCAUUUGCUUAAUUACAAAAUAAAACUAGGAUGAAAAAAAAGAGAUCAUUUUGUUGUGGCUAUAUAACAAACAAAGGAGAAGAUAUUUUAUUUGGGAAAAUUUUCAAAACAACAAUAUUUUAACUUUUAGUGUGACUCCUUAGCAACUGUUUCAUUAUUUAUUAAAAAUGUCAUUAUUUUAGUUUGUUAAGGGAUUAGUUACGUAUUUAUUUUAUUUUGAUUAAUUUGAAAGAAUUCAAAUAAUUAAUAACAGAACAGAGAAAAUUAUGGAACAAAAAAAUUCAAAAAAGGUAAAAAAGAUUUUAAAUACAAAUUAGUUACGUUUUGAAAAGAGCAUAAAUAGUCAUCUUUCUAUCGAGCGUUUUUUUGCUUUCUUUUUAAGAACAUAAAAAAAAUAAUUUAAAAUAAUUUAGUUUGUCUUUCGAAUCAUUCAUCUGAUAACUUUCAAAGCUUCUUCAAGUUGAAUACGGCAUAUUUUUUAAACGAAAUUUUUCAAAAUUGACGACUAUAAAUUUGUCACAUCCAAUGAACAAUCGAAAAAAAUCAGGUAUUUUUUUUCAAUUUUUUUAUUUGGGAAAAUUUUCAAAACAACAAUAUUUUAGCUUUAAGUGGGACUCCUUAGCAACAUUUUCAUUAUUUAUUUAAAAUGUCAUUAUUUUAGUUUGUUAAGGGAUUAGUUACGUAUUUAUUUUAUUUUGAUUAAUUUGAAAGAAUACAAAUAAUUAAUAACAGAACAGAGAAAAUUAUGGAACAAAAAAAUUCAAAAAAGGUAAAAAAGAUUUUAAAUACAAAUUAGUUACGUUUUGAAAAGAGCAUAAAUAGUCAUCUUUCUAUCGAGCGUUUUUUUGCUUUCUUUUUAAGAACAUAAAAAAAAUAAUUUAAAAUAAUUUAGUUUGUCUUUCGAAUCAUUCAUCUGAUAACUUUCAAAGCUUCUUCAAGUUGAAUACGGCAUAUUUUUGAAACAAAAUUUUUCAAAAUUGACGACUAUAAAUUUGUCACAUCCAAUGAACAAUCGAAAAAAAUCAGGUAUUUUUUUUCAAUUUUUUUAUUUGUUUGGAUGAGAUAUUCGUAUAUGUCGAGUACAAAAGUGUUUUUUUUUUAUUGAAUCAGUGAAAUCUUUGUAUGUAUUGAGAUUUAUAGCUUUUUUCGGUUAUUUUGUAUCCAAAUUAUGAUGUAUAACGAAUGAAAUUGUCUUUUUUAGUUUAGUAGCUGUUUUUUCUGUUUGAAUGCNNNNNNNNNNNNNNNNNNNNNNNNNNNNNNNNNNNNNNNNNNNNNNNNNNNNNNNNNNNNNNNNNNNNNNNNNNNNNNNNNNNNNNNNNNNNNNNNNNAACUAAUCGAUCAUGAACUAUAUGUUGAAUACAACAAUAUAUGAAUACAAAAGUGAGAUGAAAAUACAAAGUUAUAAAUACAAAGUGAGAUUGAAUAUAAAGUUGUGUAUACAAAAGAAAUACUUUCUUCAUUUGAAAUACAAAGUGACUUUGAAAGGUAAAAUACAAACUAAUUGAUCAUGAACUAUAUGUUGAAUACAACAAUAUAUGAAUACAAAAGUGAGAUGAAAAUACAAAGUUAUAAAUACAAAGUGAGAUUGAAUAUAAAGUUGUGAAUACAAAACAAAAGAAAUACUCUCUUCAUUUGAAAUACAAAGUGGCUUUGAAAGGUAAAGUAGGCACAUAAAAUACUAAACUUGUUGGUAUACAAUUAGGUUGAAUACAAAAUAAAAGAGAAUUACAAACUUGUUCACAUAUAAAUUGAGAUUAAAAUACAGAAUGAAUACCCAAUAAAAUACAAAAUUGUUAGCAUACAGUUAGGAUGAAUACAAAUUAAGAAGGAAACACAAACAUGUUGGUAUACUAAUUGAGAUUGAAAUACAAUGUAAAAACAAAAAAUGUAAAACUUUUUUAUAUAUAGAUAGAAUGAAUACACAAAUAAACUGUUGAUUCAGACAUUGACAGACAAAUGCUUUCCCUUCCCUGAAUCUAAAACCGUAAAAGCAAAUAUAAAUGUAUUAAAAAUCAAACAAAAUAAACAUAUGAAUGGAUUUGUAGAUUUUAAUAAAUCUGAAAUAUUAAAACGAAAUAAAAAAAAAUCAAAAAAAAAUUGUUUAAUCGACCAAAAAUCUGAAAUACAAAAAUAUUAGAUGAAUAUGUAAACAAACUUGCAAUAAAAAAAAAUUGAACGAAUAAAAAAUUUAAAACAAUAACAAAAAGUAUGAAUUUUAUUUUAAAAAAGUACUCAUGGCAAUUCCCAAAUAGUAAUAGCAGAGAUUCUACUCUACAAGGCUAUAGGAUAUGAGAAUACCAUUUUCGGAUAAUAAUUUCUGAUGAUUUUUUUGCAUUUUGGGUUAUGCGGCUAUCAAAUCCAAUCCGCCCCAAAUUCUAAAGUGAAUCAUCAGGUAAUAGUCCGCAGACCUUACUCUAAUGGACUAUUUUCGAUAAAAACUCGACUCCAAGAACAAAAUAUACAUAACUAAGCAAACACAACUCAACAAAUUAACUUAGAAUUCGGAAAAAAUGGAAGAGUUAGGUACCAGCAAAGCCGGUGAUGGAAGAAGGUAAGGGACGAUGUAAGGCUUUUAUAGAUCUGGAUGGCGGCGUAAAUUUUGGGCUUUUUUUCAAAAGGGAAAAUUUUCAAAACAACAAUAUUUUAGCUUUUAGAGAAAAUUUCUUGAAUUAAAAUAUAUAUUUUGAUGAACAAUUUGUGAGCACCUUGAAGAAAGAAUCUGGAAACGUGAAAAAGGGAUAGAAACGUGAAAGGUGGGGUAGAAAAAGUGAAAGGUGAAGAAGGAAGGUUAAUGGGUAUUGGUAACUAAUUGGUUAGAAUUUGGUCCCAUAUAGAACUGUUUUCAUAAAUAAAAUUAAUUUUAAAUACUAAAAUCUGAAUACAUAUUAUUUUCUAAAAUAUUGUCAUUCUGACGUUUUAAAUAAAUAUUUUAAAGUGUUGUUAUUUUAACUAAAUAUUUUAGGUAUUAUGAUUUAAUUGCUAAUUUUCCCUAAAUUGGCAAUUAAGUCAUAAUACCUAAUAUAAUUAGUCAAAAUAACAACACUUUAAAAUAUUUAUUUAAAAUGGCAGAAUGACAAUAUUUUUAUAAAUAAUAUGUAUUCAGAUUUUAGUAUUUAAAUUAAUUUUAUUUAUGGAAAGAGUCCUAUAUUGGACCAAAUUAUAUAUCAAUAACCGUUUAAAGAAAAAAUUAAACCAAUACACAUUAACCUUUUUUCAACUCCAUUCACGUUUCUUCCUCACUUUUCACGUUUCUUCCUCACCUUUCACGUUUCAAGUUUAUCUUUCUUCAAUGUGUUAAAUUGUUGUUCAUCAAGAAAUCUUCUUUAUUGUUAAAUGAAUCUAUUUAUUAAUUCAAGUAGAUUUCUCGAUUGGUAAGAUAAUUUCCAUUAUCCAUUUUGAUUUAUUUUGAUUGAUGUUUAAAUCACCGAUUCUAUAUAUUACGAAUUUUCAGUCGAAUUUUUCAAUUUUUUAGGUGUAUUUUUGUUUAGUUAUUCAUCAAAUAGUUAUGAUUUUCAAAUUUUUCAAUUUUUUUGUGAUUUUCUUUUAAUUUUUCAGAUUUUGGAGAAUCUAGAAAUUCAUAUGUAUGUUUAUUUGUUUGAUAUUUAAUACAUUCUAAUUUUUGAUAAUUUCGAAAUUCAAAUUAUCAAAAAAUUUGUUUUCAUAUUUGAGAUUUUAGUAGAUUGUAGUAACUACAUUAGCACACAUACAUCAUAUAUUGUUUGAUUUUUUUAUAUAUUCAUAUUUAAUAAUUUCGAAUUUUGCUUAUAGGGUUACUAAUGCACAAGUGAAUACGGAUUCAAAUUUGAUUUUGAUGGAAAAAAAUCGGAAAAAAGAACAUAGUAGAUGAAGAAGAAGAAGAAAGACAAAGUCAAAUAAGAAGGUUACAAAAUUGUAUUCAUACCAUAAUUGUAUUUNNNNNNNNNNNNNNNNNNNNNNNNNNNNNNNNNNNNNNNNNNNNNNNNNNNNNNNNNNNNNNNNNNNNNNNNNNNNNNNNNNNNNNNNNNNNNNNNNAAUACUUUCUGCAAAUUUAAAGUGAAAUAAUAAUAUAACAAAAUUGGAUAUUGAAAUAUAAAUACAAUUUAUUUUGAAUAAACUUAUUCUAGGUAUUAUAAAUGUAUUCAUCGCAACUGUAUUUUUCAAUAUCAUUUCGAUCUACAACUAAUUUGUAUUUAUAUUUUGGUAUACACUAUACAACUGCCUUUAUUUUUGUACUUGAACUAGAAUGCCAAAGAGUUGUAUUCAUCAUAAAUCAAUACCAACAUUUUUUGUAUUUUAAAUUAGUUAUACAUAUCAUUAGGUAUUCGAAUACAUUUCGAAUGAACACAUAUUCAAAGAAGUUCAAACAUUUAAAUAUCCAAAAUAGAGGGCAUUAUAAAAUUUUCCAACACUUCCACUCAUAUAAGAUAUAAAAUACAAACUACUGUUUUCAAAAAAAAUAAAUGAAAUUCUUAAGAACAAAGAAAAAAACACUAGAAAGAAAAAUGGCAACAUAUGCUUUUUCAAAAACAUAACUGAUGUUAAAUUUUUUUAAAAAAAUUACCUUUUUUGAAAUUUUUUGUUCCAUGAUUUUCUCUAUUCAGUUAUUAAUUAUUUGUAUUCUUUCAAAUUAAUCAAAAUAAAAUAAAUACAUAACUCAAUCCUUAACAAAUUAAAAUAUUGACAUUUUAAAUAAAUAGUGAAACUAUUGCUAAGGAGUCCCAUUAAAAGCUAAAAUAUUGUUGUUUUGAAAAUUUUUGAAUAAGGUUUGUCAUGAAAGUAUGUUACUAUAUUUAAAACAAAUUAGCCCAAUAUUCAAAUGGGCUAAAUGGGAGGUUCAAAGGGUCAUUUGCACUUUUGUCCCUAGUGACCAACAAGUUUUUUUUGCGGGACAUAAGUUUAUAUUUAAGUAACCAUAGUAUUCACAAGUUACGUUAUAUUCAGGUAUGAUUUCAGUUUCUAAAGAAGUUAUGUCCUAUUUGGGCAUGAGUUUGAUGGUUAAAGAGAAAAAAAAUAAUUAAAAGACCAGCUCAUUUAAAGGACAAAAAUUAAAGAUCAAUCUAUUUGAAGGACAAAAUGUGCAAUUUUACGAGAAACAAAUAUGUUGAAUUAAUAGAUAAAUGCAUGACUAGCCCACCCAAAUUUGAACGAGUUUGGACAUAUCAUAUUUUCAUGGGUUAAUUUUAUCAUAUUUUAUUGCGGAUGAUACUUGUGGUGAUAGGAUAAAAUUGUAGUGAAUGGACGAUGUUACAAUAGUAACGGUUUGCAUCAUUUAGGAUUAUGCGAUGAUUCCAAUUUGUAUGGAAAGUUUUGAAGAUGAUGUUACCUCCAUGGUAGUACCAAUUACCGUUGUGAUUCAUUUCCGGCAUUUAAUGAGUGAGCUGUUGGUUUGUUUGUUAAUGUGGAUAAAAAAAAGUACUUUUUGAAGAAUCCUAAAGUACUUAAUGUGUGUUCGGUAAGAAGGAAAAAAAUUUUUGAUGAAAAAUAUUUCCUAAAAAAACAAAUUGAUUUCUUAUUUUUUUGUGUUUGAUAGGUAAGUACAAAGUAUAAUCCGAAAAGCAUUUGUAUAUAAUAAGUGAGUUGUGGUGAGGAGGUAUGUGCGGGUGAAGAUGAGCUGUGUAGGAGGAUGGUGAAGACAAGGUGUGUUCGAUAAGUAGGAACACAAAAAAAGUUUUUCAAUUUUCCAUGUUUGCUUCGUUAAUAGUCAGAUUGAGCGGAAACUACUUGCUCUGGAUGUCACUACUAAAAAGUUGUGUUCAUGUCAACAAUCGGAAUCCAUACAAUAGCUCUAGAAAAUUGCAAUUAAUGUUCUGUACAAGUUGUUUAUCACUCAAUGGAGAAACCACCUGGAACGGUGGAGGCAAAUAAGAGGUCAAAAGGCACAAUUGAUGCAUUUGACACAUAUUCGAGAUACAAUUAUAUGUAUCUAGUUACUAUCAGUGUAUUUGAUUAAAUAUGUAUGUAUCAAAUAAAUAUAUUGGAGAUUUACACAUGUAUUUAACACCAAAAACAAAACAAAAAAACAAGUUUCAGGUAAUAGCAUUUUCAUAUCAUGUAAUCAAAGAACUCAAAGAGAGCAAUAAGCUUACAACAUCUAAGGGCUGUCAAGUCAGUAACAUUCUUGUCUUCUAUUUUUGUUUAUUUCUAUCUAAUAAGAAGAAAUUCCUACGACCAAGAAAUUCUUGGAAACUUCAUUCAAUAGUUGAAACUGCUACAAACAUACAUAUUUCUAUUCCCUUUUCAUAUUUCUCCUGCUUUGCAGGUGAUGUGCCAACAAUGAUAUUACAGAUUCCUUGGCGAGGAGG
rnacentral:lncRNA from 1 species